GAUGAACGCUAGCGGCAGGCUUAACACAUGCAAGUCGAGGGGUAGGUUACUUCGGUAAUUGAGACCGGCGCACGGGUGCGUAACGCGUAUACAAUCUACCUUUUACAGAGGGAUAGCCCAGAGAAAUUUGGAUUAAUACCUCAUAGUAUUUUUGAACCGCAUGAUUUGAUUAUUAAAGUUCCAACGGUAAAAGAUGAGUAUGCGUCCCAUUAGCUAGAUGGUAAGGUAACGGCUUACCAUGGCUACGAUGGGUAGGGGUCCUGAGAGGGAGAUCCCCCACACUGGUACUGAGACACGGACCAGACUCCUACGGGAGGCAGCAGUGAGGAAUAUUGGACAAUGGCGCAAGCCUGAUCCAGCCAUGCCGCGUGCAGGAAGAAGGUCCUAUGGAUUGUAAACUGCUUUUAUACAGGAAGAAACACUCCCUCGUGAGGGAACUUGACGGUACUGUAUGAAUAAGGACCGGCUAACUCCGUGCCAGC
rnacentral:rRNA from 1 species